rnacentral:misc_RNA from 1 species
GAUGAAGAACGCAGCGAAAUGCGAUAAGUAAUGUGAAUUGCAGAAUUCAGUGAAUCAUCGAAUCUUUGAACGCACAUUGCGCCCGCCAGUAUUCUGGCGGGCAUGCCUGUUCGAGCGUCAUUUCAACCAUCAAGCUCCAGGCUUGUGUUGGGGACCUGCGGCUGCCGCAGGCCCUGAAAACCAGUGGCGGGCUCGCUGUCACACCGGGCGUAGUAGAUUUUUUCUCGCUCAGGGCGUGCUGCGGGUUCCGGCCGUUAAAAAGCCUUUUUUACCCAAGGUUGACCUCGGAUCAGGUAGGAAGACCCGCUGAACUUAAGCAUAUCAAUAAGCGGAGGA